rnacentral:rRNA from 1 species
UACGGAGGGUGCAAGCGUUAUCCGGAUUUACUGGGUUUAAAGGGUGCGCAGGCGGAUAUGUAAGUCAGUGGUGAAAUCUCCGGGCUUAACCCGGAACUGCCGUUGAUACUAUAUAUCUUGAAUGCUGUGGAGGUAAGCAGAAUAUGUCAUGUAGCGGUGAAAUGCUUAGAGAUGACAUUAGAAUACCUAUUGCGAAGGCAGCUUACUACGCAGAUAUUGACGCUCAUGCACGAAGCGUGGGGAUCAAACAGG